rnacentral:rRNA from 1 species
GUUCACGCUGGCGGUAGGCCUAACACAUGCAAGUCGAACGGCAGCACAGUAAGAGCUUGCUCUUACGGGUGGCGAGUGGCGGACGGGUGAGGAAUACAUCGGAAUCUACUUUUUCGUGGGGGAUAACGUAGGGAAACUUACGCUAAUACCGCAUACGACCUACGGGUGAAAGCAGGGGAUCUUCGGACCUUGCGCGAUUGAAUGAGCCGAUGUCGGAUUAGCUAGUUGGCGGGGUAAAGGCCCACCAAGGCGACGAUCCGUAGCUGGUCUGAGAGGAUGAUCAGCCACACUGGAACUGAGACACGGUCCAGACUCCUACGGGAGGCAGCAGUGGGGAAUAUUGGACAAUGGGCGCAAGUCUGAUCCAGCCAUACCGCGUGGGUGAAGAAGGCCUUCGGGUUGUAAAGCCCUUUUGUUGGGAAAGAAAAGCAGCAGGUUAAUACCCCGCUGUUCUGACGGUACCCAAAGAAUAAGCACCGGCUAACUUCGUG